rnacentral:rRNA from 1 species
GACGAACGCUGGCGGCGUGCUUCACACAUGCAAGUCGACCGAUGAAACCGGAGCUUGCUCUGGUGAAUUAGUGGCGAACGGGUGAGUAACACGUGAGUAACCUGCCCUUGACUCUGGGAUAACUGCGGGAAACUGUAGCUAAUACCGGAUACGACCCUCGGAGGCAUCUCCUGGGGGUGGAAAGAAUUUCGGUCAAGGAUGGACUCGCGGCCUAUCAGCUAGUUGGUGAGGUAAAGGCUCUCCAAGGCGACGACGGGUAGCCGGCCUGAGAGGGUGACCGGCGCCACGGGGACUGAGACAAGCCCCAGACUCGUACGGUAGGCAGCAGUGGGGAAUAUGGGAAGCCGGGCCCAAGCCGGAGGCAGCAACGCAGCGUGAGGGAUGACGGCCUUCGGGUUGUAAACCUCUUUUAGCAGGGAAGAAGCGAAAGUGACGGUACCUGCAGAAAAAGCACCGGCUAACUACCUGCCAGCCGCCGCCGUAA